GAUGAACGCUGGCGGCGUGCCUAAUACAUGCAAGUCGAGCGAACAGACGAGGAGCUUGCUCCUCUGACGUUAGCGGCGGACGGGUGAGUAACACGUGGAUAACCUACCUAUAAGACUGGGAUAACUUCGGGAAACCGGAGCUAAUACCGGAUAAUAUAUUGAACCGCAUGGUUCAAUAGUGAAAGACGGUUUUGCUGUCACUUAUAGAUGGAUCCGCGCCGCAUUAGCUAGUUGGUAAGGUAACGGCUUACCAAGGCGACGAUGCGUAGCCGACCUGAGAGAGUGAUCGGCCACACUAGAACUGAGACACGGUCCAGACUCCUACGGGAGGCAGCAGUAGGGAAUCUUCCGCAAUGGGCGAAAGCCUGACGGAGCAACGCCGCGUGAGUGAUGAAGGUCUUCGGAUCGUAAAACUCUGUUAUUAGGGAAGAACAAAUGUGUAAGGAACUGUGCACGUCUUGACGGUACCUAAUCAGAAAGCCACGGCUAACUACGUG
rnacentral:rRNA from 1 species